rnacentral:rRNA from 1 species
AUACGGAGGGUGCAAGCGUUACUCGGAAUCACUGGGCGUAAAGCGCGCGCAGGCGGGCUGAUAAGUUGGAUGUGAAAGCCUACGGCUCAACCGUAGAACUGCAUCCAAAACUGUCAGUCUAGAGUGUGGGAGAGGAAGAUGGAAUUAGUUGUGUAGGGGUAAAAUCCGUAGAGAUAACUAGGAAUACCAAAAGCGAAGGCAAUCUUCUGGAACACUACUGACGCUGAGGCGCGAAGGCGUGGGGAGCAAACAGGAUUAGAUACCCGGGUAGUCC